AUACAGAUCUCAAUUUCAGAUUUUAGUUUAUGUUCCUAACUAGCUGUAAGACCUUGGACAAGAUACUAAGCUCUCUAAACCUCAGCUACCUAUUGAAUGAGGAGGCUAUAGGGUCUUUUCUACUUCCUUAAUUAUAGAGGUUUGGCAGAAUCAAAUGAACUAGCUAAUAUUAAAUUCUUGCCUUGUAUAUUCACCUUAGUAAUACACAAAUAAAAAUACGGUCACUGGCCCCAAGGAGCUCACUGUGGUAAGAGCUGUGAUAUGGUGGUGACAAGAGUGGUUACAACAGGGACUGUUGGAGAUCUAGAUAUAAAAGCACAGGGAGAUAUGGACACACAAGACAGCAUACUUAACCCCUUCUGGAAAGGUCAGAGAUAGCCUCCUACAUAGAGCAGGUGAGGCCUUUGCUGAGGCUAGAAUCAGCUAGGUGCUGAUCAAGUAAAAAAGGGCUGGAGAGAAGAAGGGAAUUGGAGGAAUAGGAACUAUUAUAUAUCUAGUUGUGAAGUUGAAAACAUGGUGUUAUGGCAAGAAUAGAACAAGAACC